ensembl:lncRNA
CUUACAUCUGCUGUGCGUAAUAAUGCUUCAUAGUGUUGCAGACAUUCUACUAGUCUCCAAGUAAUGACAACAAAGAAUGAAUAAUAACAAAAUAAUAUAUAUUUUCCCUUUUACAAAGCGUUUUCAAUUAUGCACAUAAAAUCCGAAGUAAAAAAAAAAGUUUACAAUUAAAUUAGUUAGAAAAUGACAGUCUGACAUUGACAAUGGACACAAAAGUAGCUUAUGUAAAUAAAGCUUGAAGGCAGUAGACAGAGAGCAAAAUUAAUCCACAUUUACAUUUCAGAUGGACUUAUUUCUUAACCUGCCGCUGAUCCCAUUUAAUGUUUAUAUAGCGUCUUGCCCCAACGGAGGAUAUUUCCUUUAAUUAUGUACAGAGUUGGGUGGGUUAUUUUUUUAAAUGUAAUCCGUAACAGUUACAAGUUACCUGUCCACAUUUGUAACCUGUAACAUAACUUUUUGUUUACUCAAACUCAGAAACGUAAUCUGAUGACUUUUAGUCAUUUAUUAUUAAGUACUGUUAGGUUUAUAUUCCUUGUCAGUGUAAGACCACAGUAUUGCACAGUAUGUUUUUUAAUUAUUUAAUAUUUAAUAGUGGAAUAAUAUCUUCCAAGGCAAUACAUAACCAGAGUUGGGGAGUAACGGAUUACAAGUAAUCCGUAACAUGUAACUGAUUACAGAAAAAUAAGUAACAGCAAUCUGUUACAUUACCAACUAAAAUAUUGUAAUCGGAUGAAAGAUACUUUUGAAAAACAUUAUGCUUACUUUUGGAUUACUUCAAUUGAAAAAGAUUAGUUGCGAGAAAUAAUUAUGACACAUUGCAUACUUGAUCUUGUUUUUAAAUGUUUUGAAUGAAAAUAACAAUUGUGCGACUCAGUUGCGUGUGAUCAUCGUGCAAGCGAAGGUGGGCGCGCUGAUUAUUGACCGAUGAAGCGCUAGUUUGAAUUUGGUUGGUAGGGUUGCUGGUAAAACAGAGUACAGUUUAUCUACGAUAAUAAUAUUUACGGUAUCUACUAUCAACGCAUUUUAGAAUGAUCAUAGGCGACACGUUUUUUUCAAGUUUCAAGGUUUAUUUGUCAAAUGCACGGAACAAUGCCAGGAAGAGUUGCACUGAACAACUCUGGAAUUGUUGUUCAGAAAAGAAGAUUAGGCAAAUAUUUGUUAUAUAGCUGUAACACUAUGCUGCCUUCGAGAUAAAACAUUAUAUGGAAUUUAUCAAGGAUAUUUGAGGAAAAAGGGUGUGUUGGGAAGCACUCUGCCAAAGGAUGAUUGCAUUUGAUGCAACUCAACUCCAUCCAUACAGGUAAGCCAUGUGAAUCUGCCUGUUUUGCAUCUCAGACAAUUGUGCUCAUUGAUUAGUAUUGGCUGCUGAUGACUUUGACUUUAGGCUAAGAGUGCAGGUGUAUAGGUGUAAUGCUUCUUAAAUGAGCUUGAAGGCAGUGGUGGUAGUAAGAAAUUAACCCGCAUUAAGAUUUCAGAUUAACUUAUUUCCUGACCUGCCACUGAUCCAAUUUAAAUUGUUAACAUGCUUCUUCUUCCAACUGAGGAUAUUGCCUGCAAUUUAUCUAUUGGCACAUGUACAAAGCCCUCUUGCAGAAACCACCCAAGGUUAAAAUCACAAAAUAUGGUACUUAUGGCUACUUGUGGUGUUUGCAGUGACAUUACAAUGUUUUUAGAAUUAGACAUCACAGAUUUGUGAUGAUAUGAGGACCGGUUUCAGAUAUUCCCUUUUGAUUUGUGAUGAUUUAGCCUAAAAGUGUGUUAUAAUGGUAAUUGUUUUCCUUUCUUCACUAUUAUUCUACCUUGUGGAAAAUAAUAGAAAUAAAGAAAUGCCAUUGAAUGGGUAGGUGUAUCCAAAAGUUUGACUGGUACUUUUUAAUUUCAAUAAAUUGGCAAAACAAUUCUAAAAACAUGUUUUUGAUUUGGGGUAUUUUUAGGUUCCUAAUAAUCAUGGCUGCUAUUACACCUUAAUAUAUAUACACAUAUGUACUUAUGACCCAAUGUCUCAAUACUAAGGUUAGCACCAUCUUCCAAAAGAAAUUGGAACAGAGUUGAUAAUAUUCCAAAGUCAGACCAAAACGUCUAAGGACCCAGGAGCCCAUUUUGUUCGGUUUUCCAAAGAUUGGGUCUUGACUACUGGAUUGCGGCAAUGGUGUGUUGCAGGACUGGAACAGAAAAAGACAUUCAGGGCAUUGGCGCUUUUGGGGCUCGGCGGAUGUACAAUUACAUUAGGGCACAGGUGUCAAACCGGUUCCACGGAGGGCCGAGUGUCUGCAGGUUUUUGCUCUCUCCUUGUACUUGAUUGGUUAAUUAGGUCACUGAUUGGUUAGUUUCUACCCUCACCUGGUUGUGUAGGUAUGAACUAGGAACCAAUUUAUAGGAAAAACCAAAAACCUGCAGACACUCGGCCCUC